UUUAGACAAUAAUUCUGAUGGCAAAAGAGCCAAACGGGACAGGCAAAAAAAAAAAGUUUGGAACUGGACCUUCAACACAGUCACAGUAAUUCUGUGUCUCGUUGCACGGGUCAUAGCUGUUGUUGGUCUGACAUUUAUGACCAACAAAUUUCAUAGUGUCAAUCUGACCAAAGAGGAUCAGUUUCUAAUUGCCUGCAGUGACCUGUGAGGUGCCGUUGCCUUCUCUCUUGCUUUCGUGCUGGAAACUGAUCAUUUUCCAGAGAGACAGAGACAUCACUGCCAUUAUUACAGUGAUUUUCUUCAUUGUCUUUGUUCAGGGCAUGACCACCAAACCCCUAAUGAAGCUGCUGGUGGUGAAGAAGAAACAACUUGCCAUUGAUGAAGAGAUCCACACCCAGAUGCACAACAGGUUGGCAGUGUUCCUGCUGAUGGUUUUGGGCCUUACCCACAAUGUUGCCAGCUCCAAGCAGCCUUCUCCACCAACAGCACAUUCACAUUCCAACAAUGCAACUAACAUCGGCAGUAACGGCACUGGAAAGGUUUUCCCACUUUAUUUCGAGUGCGGGAAAGUUCAAGUUUCAUUUGAAGUUGCAUUGUGGAUCCUCCUUGCUUCUCUAAGAAAAUUAGGAGAACAUCCAACAGCUGUCUGAAGGACAGUGUGAAGAAAUCCAUGAAUUACUACAAAAUUCAUGGAUUCUGCUCCAAAGGACACGGCAGAGGGGAGUGAGAAGCCCACUGCAGCGACCUCACCCGGGUUUGCCAGAGAGGCCCUCCAGUCCUAAUUGCCGCCAUCCAAGAGGACACUCCAGGGCCCAGUUAUUCAGUGGGCCACCAAAGUGAGCAGGAGGAUGACGGCCAGCUGGGCUGAGAGAGGGGGGAACAAAUAACACUCCUUAAAUAUUAAUCACUGUACAUAGUUGAACUUCCUGUUUGUUGAACUUUAUUUGAAUUAUUUUUUUAAACUAUGUCCAACAAAAUGUAUAAAGUUUUAUAAAUAAAAAUCAUUGUAAACAC